UUAAUUCAAAUUUGUAUGCAGUUGGAACGUUUGCGUACGUUUGCCGCUAAGGGCGCUGUUCCAACUGCAUACAAAUUCUAGUUA
rfam:Bombyx mori DNA, contig: Bm_scaf1_contig169, strain: p50T/Dazao, build 2, whole genome shotgun sequence.